UACGUAUGGGGCAAGCGUUGUUCGGAAUUAUUGGGCGUAAAGGGCGUCUAGGCGGGGGAUUAAGUUAGAUGUGAAAGCCAUGGGCUCAACCCAUGAACUGCAUCUAAGACUGGUUCUCUUGAGUUCGGGAGAGGAGAGCGGAAUUCCAGGUGUAGCGGUGAAAUGCGUAGAUAUCUGGAAGAACACCAGUGGCGAAGGCGGCUCUCUGGCCUAGGACUGACGCUGAAGCGCGAAAGCGUGGGGAGCGAACAGGAUUAGAAACCCUUGUAGUCC
rnacentral:rRNA from 1 species